UAUAUUAAAUUAAAGACUCAAUUAAUGCUACCUACAAAAUCUUAUGUUACUACUUCGUUUAAAAUAUGUGCAGUAGAGAUCACAUUAAUCAGUUUAACAUUAUUUCUUUGACUCAUUUAUACUUUGAACUGUUUAAUUGCAAACCCAGCUGAGUAUCGAUGUUCUGAAAAUAAGAAUGUUUUACUGUUCAUUUCGGACGUCAUGGACAUCUUCGUUAAAGAAAUCUCGAUUUUAAAGCCCAUUUUUUAUGGGAU